rnacentral:rRNA from 1 species
UUAUGCACUCCUACGGGAGGCAGCAGUGGGGAAUAUUGCACAAUGGGCGCAAGCCUGAUGCAGCCAUGCCGCGUGUAUGAAGAAGGCCUUCGGGUUGUAAAGUACUUUCAGCAGUGAGGAAGGUGGGUAUGUUAAUAGCAUACUCAUUUGACGUUAGCUGCAGAAGAAGCACCGGCUAACUCCGUGCCAGCAGCCGCGGUAAUACGGAGGGUGCGAGCGUUAAUCGGAAUUACUGGGCGUAAAGCGCAUGCAGGUGGUUUGUUAAGUCAGAUGUGAAAGCCCGGGGCUCAACCUCGGAAUUGCAUUUGAAACUGGCAAACUAGAGUACUGUAGAGGGGGUAGAAUUUCAGGUGUAGCGGUGAAAUGCGUAGAGAUCUGAAGGAAUACCGGUGGCGAAGGCGGCCCCCUGGACAGAUACUGACACUCAGAUGCGAAAGCGUGGGGAGCAAACAGGAUUAGAUACCCUGGUAG